UUACACAUGCAAGUCGAACGGCAGCAUGAUCUAGCUUGCUAGAUUGAUGGCGAGUGGCGAACGGGUGAGUAAUACAUCGGAACGUGCCCUGUAGUGGGGGAUAACUAGUCGAAAGAUUAGCUAAUACCGCAUACGACCUGAGGGUGAAAGUGGGGGACCGCAAGGCCUCAUGCUAUAGGAGCGGCCGAUGUCUGAUUAGCUAGUUGGUGGGGUAAAGGCCCACCAAGGCGACGAUCAGUAGCUGGUCUGAGAGGACGAUCAGCCACACUGGGACUGAGACACGGCCCAGACUCCUACGGGAGGCAGCAGUGGGGAAUUUUGGACAAUGGGGGCAACCCUGAUCCAGCAAUGCCGCGUGUGUGAAGAAGGCCUUCGGGUUGUAAAGCACUUUUGUCCGGAAAGAAAUCGCACUUACUAAUAUUAGGUGUGGAUGACGGUACCGGAAGAAUAAGGACCGGCUAACUACGUGCCAGCAGCCGCGGUAAUACGUAGGGUCCAAGCGUUAAUCGGAAUUACUGGGCGUAAAGCGUGCGCAGGCGGUUGUGCAAGACCGAUGUGAAAUCCCCGGGCUUAACCUGGGAAUUGCAUUGGUGACUGCACGGCUAGAGUGUGUCAGAGGGGGGUAGAAUUCCACGUGUAGCAGUGAAAUGCGUAGAGAUGUGGAGGAAUACCGAUGGCGAAGGCAGCCCCCUGGGAUAACACUGACGCUCAUGCACGAAAGCGUGGGGAGCAAACAGGAUUAGAUACCCUGGUAGUCCACGCCCUAAACGAUGUCAACUAGUUGUUGGGGAUUCAUUUCCUUAGUAACGUAGCUAACGCGUGAAGUUGACCGCCUGGGGAGUACGGUCGCAAGAUUAAAACUCAAAUGAAUUGACGG
rnacentral:rRNA from 1 species